CUAGCGUUGUCCGGAAUCAUUGGGCGUAAAGCGCGUGUAGGCGGCCCGGUAAGUCCGCUGUGAAAGUCGGGGGCUCAACCCUCGGAUGCCGGUGGAUACUGUCGGGCUAGAGUGCGGAAGAGGCGAGUGGAAUUCCUGGUGUAGCGGUGAAAUGCGCAGAUAUCAGGAGGAACACCAAUUGCGAAGGCAGCUCGCUGGGACGGUACUGACGCUGAGACGCGAAAGCGUGGGGAGCGAACAGG
rnacentral:rRNA from 1 species